AAGUCGUAACAAGGUAUCCGUAGGUGAACCUGCGGAUGGAUCAUUAUCACGUAUCCACGUAUCAACCAUUGUGAACUGUUUUUUACCUCUGAUAGGAUUUUUGUGAAGGAAAGAAUAUUUGAUUUCGGUCUCUUAUUCUUUUUUUCUUAUCAGUUGUAAUCACAUUUUUUUAUUAACAACUUAAACCUAAAUUUUAUAACUUUUGAACUGAUUUAUUUCAUACUCUUCGGAGAUGAAAUUCAUUACGAAACAAAGAACAACUCUUAGCAACGGAUAUCUUGGUUCUC
rnacentral:misc_RNA from 1 species